rnacentral:rRNA from 1 species
UGAAUUGCAGAAUUCAGUGAAUCAUCGAAUCUUUGAACGCAAAUGGCGCUCUUGGGUUCUCCCAGGAGCAUGUCUGUCUGAGUGUCGGAUAUCAUCCAACGCACGCCAGCGUGCGGAAUUGAGGCGUCACGGUCCGUACUGCACGGACCGUGUCCCUUGAAAGUCAGAGAGACUCGCCGCGUCGCGGGAAGAUUCCCCGUGCACACCAGCGGAGGCUAAAAUGUCUUUUGUCCUUCGCGUGCCGGGAAGUCGCCGCGUGCGGCGGUCGUCGUCGGGCGAACUUUAAUUAUCUUGACCUCAGAUCAGGCAAGGCUACCCGCUGAAUUUAAGCAUAUUAAUAAGCGGAGGAAAAGAAACUAACAAGGAUUCCCUCAGUAACGGCGAGUGAAGCGGGACCAGCUCAAAUUUGAAAUCUCCGAUGCCUGCAUCGGCGAGUUGUAGUUGCGAGAAGCACUUUCUAGGUGGAUCGGUCGUGCCUAAGUUGCUUGGAACAGCACGUCGCAGAGGGUGACAACCCCGUCUGUGGCGCGGCCGGCCGCCGACGAUGUGCUUUCGAAGAGUC